UGGGAUGUAGCUCAGUGGUAGAGCACUUGCCUAGUAUGCCAGAGAUCCUGGCUUUCAUCCCCA
rnacentral:tRNA from 1 species